GGGAAAGGUGUGAAAAUGAUAAAAACAUACAUGGAAAACAUGGAAAAUGGGGGGAAAUAUAUGGGAAAUGAAUAAAAAAAUAUAUGGAAAACACAGAAAAUGGAUAAAAAGCAGCCGGGAGGAAGAAAAUGAGAGAGAAACACGCGGGAAAACACAGAAAAUGCAGGAAAAACACCAAAAUCCACGCAGGGAGCGCAGGGAGUGCAGGGGAAGUGCAGGAAAUGCACGGGAAGUGCAGGAAAUGCAGGAAAUGCAGUUUUGCACACCCGGCCGGGAUGCCCAGGUGUGCCCGGAGUUCACACGCGCUCAGGGUGAACUCACAGGGGAUUUGUACACCCAGAGAGCACACUCACACUCGGAGCGCACACUCACACUCACAGAGAUCACACUCACAGAGCUCACACUCACACUCGGAGCGCACACUCACACUCACAGAGAUCACACUCACACUCACACUCAGAGCUCACACUCACAGAGCUCACACUCACAGAGCUCACACACACAGAGCUCACACUCAAAGCUCACACUUAGAGCUCACACUCACACAGAGAUCACACUCAGAGCUUACCCAGAGCUCACACUCACAGAGCUCACACUCACAUUCACAGAGCUCACACACACAGAGCUCACACUCAAAGCUCACACUCACAGAGCUCACACUCACACUCGGAGCGCACACUCACACUCACAGAGAUCACUCGGAGCUCACACUCAGAGCUCCUCACACUCCCAGAGCUCACACUCACGCUCCCAGAGCUCACACUCCCAGAGCUCACACUCACACUCACAGAGCUCACACACACAGAGCUCACACUCAGAGCUCACACUCACAGAGCUCACACUCCCAGAGCUCACACUCAGAGCUCACACUCACAGAGAUCACACUCAGAGCUCACACUGAGCUCAGACACACAUGGGAUACACGCGUGAACAGAGCUCACACUCCCAGAGCUCACACUCCCAGAGCUCACCCAGAGCUCACACUCACAGAGCUCACCCAGAGCUCACACUCACAGAGCUCACACUCACAGAGCUCACACUCACACUGACAGCUCACAGUCACACAUGGGACGCACACG
rnacentral:lncRNA from 1 species